ACAUGCAAGUCGAACGGUGAAGCCCAGCUUGCUGGGUGGAUCAGUGGCGAACGGGUGAGUAACACGUGAGCAACCUGCCCCUGACUCUGGGAUAAGCGCUGGAAACGGCGUCUAAUACUGGAUAUGUGACGUGGCCGCAUGGUCUGCGUCUGGAAAGAAUUUCGGUUGGGGAUGGGCUCGCGGCCUAUCAGCUUGUUGGUGAGGUAAUGGCUCACCAAGGCGUCGACGGGUAGCCGGCCUGAGAGGGUGACCGGCCACACUGGGACUGAGACACGGCCCAGACUCCUACGGGAGGCAGCAGUGGGGAAUAUUGCACAAUGGGCGCAAGCCUGAUGCAGCAACGCCGCGUGAGGGAUGACGGCCUUCGGGUUGUAAACCUCUUUUAGCAGGGAAGAAGCGAAAGUGACGGUACCUGCAGAAAAAGCGCCGGCUAACUACGUGCCAGCAGCCGCGGUAAUACGUAGGGCGCAAGCGUUAUCCGGAAUUAUUGGGCGUAAAGAGCUCGUAGGCGGUUUGUCGCGUCUGCUGUGAAAUCCGGAGGCUCAACCUCCGGCCUGCAGUGGGUACGGGCAGACUAGAGUGCGGUAGGGGAGAUUGGAAUUCCUGGUGUAGCGGUGGAAUGCGCAGAUAUCAGGAGGAACACCGAUGGCGAAGGCAGAUCUCUGGGCCGUAACUGACGCUGAGGAGCGAAAGGGUGGGGAGCAAACAGGCUUAGAUACCCUGGUAGUCCACCCCGUAAACGUUGGGAACUAGUUG
rnacentral:rRNA from 1 species